UGAGGUUGCAAAGCUACAAUA
rnacentral:siRNA from 1 species